CUCGGGAGGCUGAGGCAGGAGAAUGGCAUGAACCCUGGAGGCGGAGGUUGCAGUGAGCCGAGAUCGCACCACUGCACUCCAGCUUGUGACUCCGUCUCAAAAAAAAAAAAAAAAAAAGACCUAUAUUUUAUUAUCCUAUUUUUAAAAUAUUCUACUGUUUCCUAACAAUCCACAGCUAUUUUUUCCAUUACUUUAUUCUACUAUCUCCUAAACAAGUGGUUUGCAAAGAUGUUUCUGUAAGGGACAAUUCAUAAAAGAUGAGGCCGGGUGUAGUGGCUCAUGCCUGUAAUCCCAGCACUUUGGGAGGCCAAAGCAGGCGGAUCACCUGAGGUCAGGAGUUGGAGACCAGCUUGGCCAACAUGGUGAAACCCUGUCUCUACUAAAAAUACAAAAAUUAGCCAAGCGUAGUGGUGGGCGCCUGUAAUUCCAGCUACUCGGGAGGCCGAGGCAGGAUAAUUACUUGAACCCAGGAGACAAAUGUUGCAGUGAGCCAACAUGGUGCCACUGUACUCCAGCCUGGGUGACAGAGUGAGACUCCAUCUCAAAAAAAAAAAGAAAGAAAGAAAGAAAAUGUUUUUAAAGGUAUAUAUAGUCAUGCAAAGAGCUUUAUUGCAUUGGGUGGGGUAUAUUUUUAUGACUUAAUUUACCUACCUUGAUGGAUUCUACGGUGAUGAUUAGGAAUGAGAAAAUGUCUGACAUGUAAUAAGCACUGUCUUAGUUCAGGCUCAUAUAACAAAUUACCAUAGAUUGGGUGGCUUAGAUAACAUGUAGUUCUCAGUUCUGACAGCUGGAAUUCCCAAGAUCAGGGCACCAGUAUGGUUGGGCCCUGGUGAUGGCCGUCUUACCAGUUGUACACAGCUGACUUCUCCCUGUAGUCUUACAUGGUGGAAAGAGGAUUAGCUAACUCUGUGGCCUCUUCUUCUAAGGGGACACUGAUCCCUUUCAUGAGAGAUCAUCCCUCAUAACCUAUUACCUUCCAAAAGCCCCACCUCCAAACACCACCAUAUUGGGGACUAGAUUUUAACAUAUGAAUUUUGAGGAGACACAUUCAGAGUCCAUAACAAGCACUCAGUAAAUUUUUUUUUUUUUUUGAGACGGAGUUCACUCUUGUUGCCCAGGCUGGAGUGCAAUGGCACGAUCUUGGCUCACCACAACCUCCGCCUCCUGGGUUCAAGCGCUUCUGCCUCAGCCUCCCGAGUAGCUGAGAUUACAGGCGUGUGACACCAUGCCCGGCUAAUUUUGUGUUUUUAGUAGAGACAGGGUUUCUCCAUAUCGGUCAGGAUGGUCUCAAACUCCCGACCUCAGGUGAUCCACCCGCCUCAGCCUCCCAAAGUGCUGGGAUUACAGGCGUGAGCCACCAUGCCCGACUGCACUCAGUAAAUAUUAUCCAAACAUAAGAUUUUCUUUUCUUUUUUCUUUUUCUUUCUUUUUUUUUUUUUUUUUUUUGUUUUUUUGAGAUAGAGUCUCACUGUUGCCCAGGCUGGAGUACAGUGGCAUGAUCUCAGCUCACUACAACCUCCGUCUCCCGGGUUCAAGCAAUUCUCCUGCCUCAGCCUCCUGAGUAGCUGGGAUGACAGGCGCCCGCCACCAUGCCCAGCUAAUUUUUGUAUUUUUAGUAGAGAUGGGGUUUCACCAUAUUGGCCAGGCUGCUCUCGAACUCCUGACCUUGUGAUCUGUGCACCUCGGCCUCCCAAAGUGCUAGGAUUACAGGCAUGAGCCACCACAUCUGGCCAAACAUAACUAUUCUUAUAGUUAUAAUAAUUCCAUGAAAUAGGUCCUACUACCUCCCUCUUUUUUGUAGUUGUUGAUUUUUAAUUUUUAAGAGAUGAGGUCUCACCACGUUGUCCAGGCUGGACUUGAACUCCCAGGCUCAAGUAAUCCUCCCACCUAAACCUCUUGAGUAGCUGGGAUGACAGGCGCACACUACCACGCCCAGCUAGCUCCUUUAUUUAUUUAUUUAUUUAUUUAUAGACAGGGUCUUGCUCUGUCGCCCAGGCGAGAGCAGAGUGGCAUAAUAAUGGCUCCCUGCAGCCCCGACCUCCCAGGCUUAAGCAGUCCUCCCACCUCACCCUCCCAAGUAGCUGGGACCACAGGCGUGUGCCAUCACACCUGGCUAAUGUUUUUAUUUUUGUGGAGAUGGAGUCUCCUUAUGUUGCCCAGGCUGAUCCUGAACUCCUGGGCUCAAGCGAUCCUCCCAUCUUGGCUUCCUAAAAUGCUGGAAUUACAAGCAUGAGCCACAAUGCCUGGCUUACCUUUCUUAUUUUACAGAUGAAAAAAUGAAAGCAGGGCGGGGCGCGGUAGCUCACACCUAUAUCCCAGUACUUUGGGAGGCUGAGGCGGGCAGAUCACCUGAGGUCAGGAGUUCAAGAUCAGCCUGACCAACAUGGAGAAACCCCGUCUCUACUAAAAAUACAAAAUUAGUCGGACGUGGUGGCACAUGCCUAUAAUCCCAGCUACUCAGGAGGCUGAGGCAGGAGAAUUGCUUGAACCCGGGAGGCAGAGGUUGCGGUGAGCUGAGAUUGUGCCAUUGCACUCCAGCCUGGGCGAGAGUGAGACUGUCUCAAAAAAAAAAGAAAAAAGAAAAAGAAAGCCGUGCGUAUUGGCACGAUCCUGUGAUCCCAGAUACUUGAGAGGCUGAGGUGGGAGGAUCACUUGAAACCCAGAGGCAGAGGUUACAGCGAGCUCAGCUGGCACCACUGCACUCCAGCCUGGGCAACAGAGCAAGACCCUGUCUCAAAAGAAAACAAAACAACAAAAGCAAGCCAAAAAGAAAAAGAAAGUUGCACAAAGUCACACAAGAGUGAACAGUAGGACAGGGAUUAAAACCCAAAUCCUCUGACCCAAGAGCUCAAACUCUAAGCCAGGAAAACAUUUUUUUUUUUUUUUUGGUUUUAAGGAGCGAAAAGUUUAACAACCAAGAAAGAAGGAAGAAAGAAGAGAACAGCUCCCCCACACAGAGACAAGGAAGGGGGUCUUGGAACAAAGAGAAACCCCCAGAAAAGCUUUUAAUGAAGGUAGCUCUGAGCCAGGCAGAAAGGAAAAGGUUAUUAGGCAGCUAUUAUUAUGGCUAUGUUGUGCUAAGCGCUCGCUCUCGGUAAGGGAGUGGUUCUCAGCACUAGACUGGACUUCAGUCUUCAGAUGAAGGACUCCUGAGCACAAGUUUAUAACAACCUGCAAUAGGGAAAUAAACCCUAUAAAUGUGGGCGGGGCUUUCUCUAACAUAAAGUUUAUGCAUUCACUUAGAACAUCCCACAGCAAAGGCUGGGCACGGUGGCACAUGCCUGUAAUCUCAGCACUUUGGGAAGCCGAGGCAGGCGGAUCACCUGAGGUCAGGAGUUUGAGACCAGCGUGGCCAACAUGGUGAAAUCCCGUCUCUACUAAAUACACAAAAAUUAGCCGAGCAUGGUGGCACACGCCUGUAAUCCCAGCUACUUGGGAGGCUGAGGCAGGAGAAUCGCUUGAACCUGAGAGGCAGAGGUUGCAGUAAGCCGAGAUCGCACCACUGCACUCUAGCCUGGGCGACAGAGGGAGACUCCAUCUCAACAGAAAAAAAAAAAAAAAGAACAUCCCACAGCAGAAGUUCGUUCAUUUAUUCAUUCAUUUAUUUUAUUGUUCAACAACUACAUCUUAGUGUUACAACUCUUUUACAAUUUGUCUAGCAGGCUUUCUGGUUUUUGCCAGAAAGCCCCCUUAAGAAAACUAAAAAAAAACAAAACAAACAAAAAAAAAAACUAAAAAAAAAAACCCUACAUCUUUCUUUCUUUUUUUUUGAGACAGGGUCUCACUCUGUCCCCCAGGCUGGAGUGCAGUGGCAUGAUCUCAGCUCACUGCAAACUCUGCCUUCUGGGUUUAGGCGAUCCUCCUGCCUCAGCCUCCCGAGUAGCUGGGAUUACAGGCACACACCACCACGCCCAGCUAAUUUUUGUAUUUUUAGCAGAGGCGGGUUUUCACCAUGUUGGCCAGGCUGGUCUCGAACUCUUGACCUCAAGUGAUCUGUCCACCCAAGCCUCCCAAAAUGCUGGGAUUAGAGGCGUGAGCCACCACUGCACGUGGCCAAAAAACGACAUCUUAAGCACCUAUUAGAAGCCAGGCACCGUAUUCAGUUUUGUGCCCAAUGUUGUGAAUACAAUAUUCAGCCCACAAAGGCAAGGAUCCCACAAUCCUUACUCAAACACAGUGAUCAUCAUCAAAGUAAUGUGAAUUUUAAAAGGCUGGAAAUUGGGAGGCCAAGGCAGGUGGAUCAACCUGAGAUCAGGAGUUUGAGACCAGCCUGACCAACGUAGUGAAACCCCGUCUCUACUAAAAAUACAAAAAUUAGCCAGGCAUGGUGGCACAUUCCUGUAAUCCCAGCUACUUGGGAGGCUGAGGCAGGAGAAUCGCUUGAACCCGGGAGGCAGAGGUUGCAGUGAGCCGAGAUUGUACCAUUGCAUUGCACUCCAGCCUUGGCGAUAAGAGUGAACUCUAUCUCAAAAAAUAAAAUAAAAUUAAAUAAAUAAAUAAAAAUAAAUAAAAGUUGGAAUUUAAAAUUGGGUAAGGCAUUUGAUUUUCAAUCAUAAACUUAUUAUUUUGUUUUCUUUUGUUGUUGUUGCUGUUCUGCCUGGACAAUCCC
rnacentral:lncRNA from 1 species